GACGAACGCUGGCGGCGUGCUUAACACAUGCAAGUCGAACGGUAAGGCCCUGCUUUUGUGGGGUGCUCGAGUGGCGAACGGGUGAGUAACACGCGUGUAUCCUGCCCUUCACUUUGGGAUAACUUCACGAAACUGGGGCUAAUAUCGGAUAUAAGCCCCUGCUGCAUGGUGGGGGUUGGAAAGUUUAGGCUGUGGGGGAUGGACUCGCGGCUUCUCAGCUUGUUGGUGGGGUAGUGGCUUACCAAGGCUUUGACGGGUAGCCGGCCUGAGAGGGAGACCGGCCACAUUGGGACUGAGAAAGGGCACAGACUCCUGCGGGGGACAGGUGUGGAAAAUAGUACAAAAUGGGAGAAAGCCUGAUGCAGCAACAACGCGUGCGGGAUGACGGCCUUCGGUGUAUAAAGCGCUUAGGCCUGAAACGGAGCGUGAGUGACGGUAAUGGGUAAAGAAGCACCGGCUAACUACGUG
rnacentral:rRNA from 1 species